ACGUGAUUUCAAAACUGACGUCUCAUUGGCUGGUUCCCACGCAGGCGCGAUUUAUGCAAAAGAAGCCCAUUUUUCCACGCUGAUUUGCUUUUGUCCAACACAUCUGCGGAGUGUGUACGGUGGACAGGCCCUCGGGAGGUGAUCUUGUGAACACUUGCUGAGGAUCCUUGAUGCCGAGUGCAGGAUGUUUCCUACCAGUUUGAAGCCAUGUCUGAAGGGUUCCGAGGUGGAAUGUUCUGCGCUGGCCGAUGGCGGCGUCGGGGGGGGGGGGGGGGGGGGGGCACUGCACCGCAUGCCCAUGGUGACGAGGAAACAGCUGACGCAGGCAACAACGGCAUAGACCAACAUCUGAAGGAUGACAGUGGAAAAAGUUUGGACACCCCUGCCAUAUGGUCUCCACAUCAAAGGUCCAUUUCCCUACGAAGACCAUGCAUCCUGCCCAUCAACCAAUGGCCUCAGCAGCCAAGUUUGAUCACUCUAUGGAGGCUGUACACCCCUCCCAUCCCCACACCGCUGGCCCAUCACCAAAUGUCCACACCUAUGGUCCUUCACCCGGCGUACACAAUAGCUUGCUACCUGAAUCCACCUGAGAAUAAAAAGGCAGCUUUCCUGGCACCAGACAGGAGAGAUGCAGGCAACCCAUCUAUUGAGGACACUAUCUGUUAUCAACCACAGGCAGAAAAAUCAUGGACGCCAUGUGAUGGAAAAAAUGUGGGCAGAAAAAGAAGGAAUUGAAGAAGUCCUCUUGAAAAUAGGUAAGUAGCAUUCAUGAUGUCAUUGUUUUGUUGACUUCAACUUUGAACACAUUUUCUCCUUCUGCUAUUGUUUGUGCUCUUUUUUCCCUUUCAGAUCCGGUCCAAGUCAGAGUACUUCAAACUCUCUGCGACUUGGUUGGAGACAAAUACAGCGACGGCCCUCCUCAACAAUCGGGCCAGCAAGAGCUCUUUCCUGAGAGCGGCGUAUUCAUAUCAUUGUUCCGCCUUGCUGCCAUGAGACAUGCUGCAGAGCCCAAAUGUAUGCCUUUAUUUGGACCUCUUUUUUCUACGUGUCAAAAUGCUGUCCCUUUUUGACGCCCUGGAAACAAACCUGCAGGAACACCAAAGCGCAUCCUUAAGCGGAAAAAAGUGGAAGGAAUCCUUAGUAAGUUUUCCCAAACAGAGGGUGUUUUCAGGCCAAAAUUGGGUCACAAUAAUGAAAUAGAAGUUCAAUAUGAGAAAUGUUGAUCCCUUUUCGAUUACAGCAGACUGGAAGCAUAACUGAAUGUUACAUCAUUACAAUUUGUUAUCCACUCCAAACUAGCGUUAUGAUGAGCAAUAUAGUCUGAUGUCCAUCAACUUGAAGUGUGGUUGUGUGUAUUAAUGGUUUUGCGUAAAUGAAGGCUUUAAAGGGCAAUAAAAAAGCAUUAAAUGAGGCAUUUAAAAAAGGGAAUAUGAUUGUAGGACAUGGCGGACAGUCAAUAUGUCAAACGGUAAAGGAAAAUGAACUUAAGAAGGUUACAGUCGUUUCUUUUUUGAACUGCAUACAAGAGGUAUUGUAAGGUGGGAACACGACAAAAGCACUGCUUCAAUCAAGCAAAAUGAAACAUCAACUUUUCCAUUCUUUGGUCACUGUAGGCGUGUAGUCCUUAACUGUGACACCAUGUCAGGAUAAUGGAGAAGCUGAGCCGACACGGAGUCGUUUAUUUCAAU